AGAUUGAACGCUGGCGGCAUGCUUUACACAUGCAAGUCGAACGGUAACAGGCCGCAAGGUGCUGACGAGUGGCGAACGGGUGAGUAAUGCAUCGGAACGUGCCCAGUCGUGGGGGAUAACGCAGCGAAAGCUGUGCUAAUACCGCAUACGAUCUAUGGAUGAAGGCGGGGGACCGAAAGGCCUCGCGCGAUUGGAGCGGCCGAUGUCAGAUUAGCUAGUUGGUGGGGUAAAGGCCCACAAGGCGACGAUCUGUAGCUGGUCUGAGAGGACGACGACGACCGACACUAGGAACUGAGACACGGUCCAGACCUCGUACGGAGGCAGCAGGUGGGAAUUUGGACAUGGGCGCAAGCCUGA
rnacentral:rRNA from 1 species